rnacentral:rRNA from 1 species
GAUGAACGCUGGCGGCGUGCUUAACACAUGCAAGUCGAACGGAGUGCCUUUGAAAGAGGAUUCGUCCAAUUGAUAAGGUUACUUAGUGGCGGACGGGUGAGUAACGCGUGAGGAACCUGCCUUGGAGUGGGGAAUAACACAGUGAAAAUUGUGCUAAUACCGCAUAAUGCAGUUGGGCUGCAUGGCUCUGACUGCCAAAGAUUUAUCGCUCUGAGAUGGCCUCGCGUAAGAUUAGGUAGUUGGUGAGGUAAAGGCUCACCAAGCCGACGAUCUUUAGCUGGUCUGAGAGGAUGAUCAGCCACACUGGGACUGAGACACGGCCCAG